rnacentral:lncRNA from 1 species
GUGGAGCGAUGCACAUCCUCAGAUUGUGGGUAAGGCCCAGAGGACUGAGAUUUAAACUGUAAGACAGCUGUGGAAAAUUCAGCAGAAACUAGUUCCAAGAGAAGGAAAAACAGAUGGAAGAUGCAGAUGAGAGGACUGGCUCUCCCAAGAAGCAGCUACUUAGAGAAAUCAGGCACUGGGGAAAUGUCUGUAGAUCUACAAAGAUGACACCAGAUAACAAUCUAAGCAACAGAGGAGAGGCUACCUUAAAUGCCCUCCCCUGAUAAUGAUGUUGAUGACUGACUUAUAUGCCACCCAAUAGCCCUCAUUCAGAAGCUGGUGGAAGUAGAAGCAGACACCCACAACUAAUCACUGAAUUGAACUGGAAUCCAGUUGCAGCGAAGGACAAGUGAAGAGCAAAGGGGUCCAGCCCAGGCUGGUGAAACCCACAGAAACAGCUGACCUGGACAUCGGGGAACUCUUGCUCCCCAGACUGAUAGCUGGGAUACCAGCAUGGGACUGAUCCAGACCCCAGGAACAUGGGUUUCAGUGAGGAGACCUCGGAAAUCUAUGGGACCUCCUGUAGUAGUUCAGUACUUAUCCCUAGCAUAGGUGUGGACUUUGGGAGCCCAUUCCACAUAGAGGAAUACUCCCUGAGCCAAGACACACGGGGGUGGGCCUAGGCCCUAUCAGAAAGGAUACGAUAGAGUCUGAUGACACCCUAUGAAAGGCCUCACCAUCCAGGGGGAGCAGAAAGGAUAUGUGAUAGGUAGGGUUUUAGUUGGGGGGGGGCA